CCUACGGGAGGCAGCAGUGAGGAAUAUUGGGCAAUGGGCGCAAGCCUGACCCAGCCACGCGGGGUGUCUGAUGAAGGCCUUCGGGUCUUAAAGCAGUGUGGGGAGAGAGGAAACAGCGCACCAGGAAAUGGGUGCGCCUUGACGGUACCUCCUUAGCAAGCACCGGCUAACUCCGUGCCAGCAGCCGCGGUAGAUACAGAGGGUGCAAACGUUGCUCGGAUUUACUGGGCGUAAAGCGCGUGUAGGCGGACUCGCAAGUCGGUUGUGAAAUCCCUGGGCUUAACCUAGGAACUGCAUCGGAAACUGCUUGUCUUGAGUACGGGAGAGGGUGGUGGAAUUCCCGGUGUAGCGGUGAAAUUCGUAGAUAUCGGGAGGAACACCAGUGGCGAAGGCGGCCACCUGGACCUUUACUGACCCUGAGACGCGAAAGCGUGGGGAGCAAACAGGAUUAGAUACCCUGGUAG
rnacentral:rRNA from 1 species